GAUGAACGCUAGCGGGAGGCCUAACACAUGCAAGCCGAGCGGUAGAGCUUCUUCGGAGUCUUGAGAGCGGCGCACGGGUGCGUAACACGUGUGCAACCUACCUUUAUCUGGGGGAUGGCCUUUCGAAAGGAACAUUAAUACCCCAUAAUUUAAUGCUUGGCCUCAAUUGUUAUUGAAAACUCCUUUGGAUGGAGGUGGGCACGCGCGAGAUUAGAUAGUUGGUGAGGUAACGGCUCACCAAGCCAAUGAUCUUUAGGGGUCCUGAGGGUGAGAUCCCCCACAGUGGGACUGAGACACGGACCAGAGUCCUACGGGACGCAGCAGUGAGGAAGAUUGGACAAUGGGUGAGAGCCUGAUCCAGCCAUCCCGCGUGAAGGAUGACGGUCCUAGGGAUUGUAAACUUCUUUUGUACAGGGAUAAACCUACCCUCGUGAGGGUAGCUGAAGGUACUGUACGAAUAAGCACCGGCUAACUCCGUG
rnacentral:rRNA from 1 species